GAGUGUAAAAACUCCCAAACCCAUGUGAACUUAUACCUAUCGUUGCUUCGGCGGGAUCGCCCCGGCGCCCUCGCGCGCCGGACCCAAGGCACCCGCCGGAGGCCCGAAACUCUUGAUUUCUUACAGUGGUAUUCUCUGAGUGGCACAAUGCAAAUAAAUCAAAACUUUCAACAACGGAUCUCUUGGUUCUGGCAUCGAUGAAGAACGCAGCGAAAUGCGAUAAGUAAUGUGAAUUGCAGAAUUCAGUGAAUCAUCGAAUCUUUGAACGCACAUUGCGCCCGCCAGCAUUCUGGCGGGCAUGCCUGUUCGAGCGUCAUUUCAACCCUCAGGCCCCCGCACUCGCGGCGACGGGCCUGGCGUUGGGGAUCGGCCGCUGCCUCCGGGCGGCCUGGCCGGCCCCGAAACCUAGUGGCGGUCUCGCUGUAGCCUCCUCUGCGUAGUAGCACACCUCGCACCGGAAAGCAGCAGGGCCACGCCGUAAAACCCCCGACUUUUUAAGGUUGACCUCGGAUCAGGUAGGAAUACCCGCUGAACUUAAGCAUAUCAAUAAGCGGAGGAAAAGAAACCAACAGGGAUUGCCCUAGUAACGGCGAGUGAAGCGGCAACAGCUCAAAUUUGAAAUCUGGCCCUUGGGUCCGAGUUGUAAUUUGUAGAGGAUGCUUUUGGCGCGGUGCCUUCCGAGUUCCCUGGAACGGGACGCCAUAGAGGGUGAGAGCCCCGUCUGGUUGGAUACCUAGCCUCUGUAAAGCUCCUUCGACGAGUCGAGUAGUUUGGGAAUGCUGCUCAAAAUGGGAGGUAUAUGUCUUCUAAAGCUAAAUACCGGCCAGAGACCGAUAGCGCACAAGUAGAGUGAUCGAAAGAUGAAAAGCACUUUGAAAAGAGGGUUAAAUAGUACGUGAAAUUGUUGAAAGGGAAGCGCUUGUGACCAGACUUGGGGUCGGUGAAUCAUCCAGCGUUCUCGCUGGUGCACUUUGCCGGUCCCAGGCCAGCAUCAGUUCGCCGCGGGGGAUAAAGGCUUCGGGAAUGUGGCUCCUCCGGGAGUGUUAUAGACCGUUGCGUAAUACCCUGUA
rnacentral:rRNA from 1 species